UUCUGCAUUACUCAUACAUUCUGUACUCGAUAGAAAAAAACAUAUAAGUCUUGGUAAGAUAUAGAACAUGUCACAGUGUAGUUGGGCUCAAAUUUAUUCCAUACUAUAAUUUUUAUCAGCCUUUCUAACUGAUUGUUGGAAACUGGACCUAAAGAGAUUUUCACACCUUUAUGUCAUGAUUUAAAUAGUCAAUGUUAUGUCAGUAAUUGGAUGAUAUCGACAAAUUAUGAGAUACAACACAAUUCAAUACAGAGUACUUCACGGAGCAUUAUUUCUUUCUAAAAUCAUCAACUUAAAAUAUAUAAUUCUAGAGAUCUGAUCCUUACACAAAUUCAAUCUUUUUGGAUUAAAUAUAUCAACUGUUGUGAUGAUAGACAACCUCAUAUUACAACAGUUAUACUUUUAUACUAUACAUGGACACAAAUUAUUUGAAGAAAAGGUCUUUCAUAUUUUAACAUUAUAUCAUUUUUACUGAAGGAAGGGAACAAUGACCAUGUGUUAAUGCUGCAAACAGACAGGAGGAGACAGAGACUGUGCUAAUAUCUCUUUUGUGUCAAGUCCUUGAAUAAAAUUGUACUGUUUCAUUAAACAUUAUUAUAUGUAAAAACUCAAAUGAAAUGCGUAUCACAUUAUGCAGAUAAUACCCUGAUUUUUAUUACCAAUCCUGAAAAUGAUCUGUCCUAUUUGACAACAAUUGAACAUAUCUAAUAUAUCUUCUUUAAAGGUAAACAUAAGUGAUAACAGAGUGCUUUGUGAUUGACCAUUGAAAUUAUUCUACCAUGUGUGUUGUUAGGUAAUAUAAUUCAAACAGGAACGACAAUGAAGGAACAUCUACAAACUUAAAACAACUAAAAUAACCUGGAAAGAAUUUGACUUAUUACUUUUGCGACUUUUUUAAAUUAAAUCUGACUAAUAAUUCUAAUAUAUUAUUAAUGUCAAAGAAAGAAAGUAAAAAGACACGUCAUAUUUAGUCCAUAAGUCCCUGUUGGAGUCAGUCAGAGCAUUUCCAUAGAGAGACACUUUGCAUCAGCAGCACCAUCCUCCAGUGCUCUGGGAGAGUUUAUAGUCCUGAGAGUUGAACACUGGAUGACUGACAGCUGUCCUUCAUCACAACAGAAGACACAGAAAUCCUCCUCAUCAAAAACAUGACUUUGAUCUCCGUCCUCAUCUGGACUCUCCUCUGCUGCUGCUUCACAGAGUCCAGAGGACAGGUCACAGUGACUCAGCCUGGAGCAGUGAGCUCUGCUCUGGGAGGCUCCGUCUCCAUCUCCUGUAGGACCAGUCAGGAUGUUCAUAUUUGGAGCAGUAACCACCUUUUAGCCUGGUACCAACAGAGAGAUGGAGAAACUCCUAAACUGCUCAUUACCUAUGCUAGCACUCGAGCAUCAGGGAUUCCAGGUCGUUUUACAGGCAGUGGAUCAAACUCUGCCUUCACUCUGACCAUCAGUGGAGUCCAGACUGAAGAUGCAGCAGUUUACUACUGUCAGAGUCUUCACUAUAUCAACAGUCAGAAUGUGUUCACACAGUGAAAAAGCGUCGUACAAAAACCUCCCUCAGUCAGACUGAACAGAAACUGAACUGACUGCUGCAGCUGGAAGCUACUGCAGAGACUGAUACACUUCACUGAACACACACACACACACACACACACACACACACACACA